rnacentral:rRNA from 1 species
AACGUAGGUGGCAAGCGUUAUCCGGAUUCACUGGGCGUAAAGCGCACGCAGGCGGCGCGGUUGGUAGGGCAUGAAAGCUCCUGGCUUAACUGGGAGACGCUGUCCUAUACCGCCGCGCUUGAGGCUGGAAGAGGGAAGUGGAAUUGCCGGUGUAGUGGUGAAAUGCGUAGAGAUCGGCAGGAACACCAGUGGCGAAGGCGGGUCUCUGGGCCGUAACUGACGCUGAGGAGCGAAAGCAUGGGGAGCGAACAGG